rnacentral:rRNA from 1 species
AACGAACGCUGGCGGCAGGCUUAACACAUGCAAGUCGAACGCCCCGCAAGGGGAGUGGCAGACGGGUGAGUAACGCGUGGGAAUCUACCCAUCUCUACGGAAUAACUCAGGGAAACUUGUGCUAAUACCGUAUACGCCCUUCGGGGAAAGAUUUAUCGGAGAUGGAUGAGCCCGCGUUGGAUUAGCUAGUUGGUGGGGUA